rnacentral:rRNA from 1 species
UACGGGGGGAGCAAGCGUUGUUCGGAUUUACUGGGCGUAAAGGGCGCGUAGGCGGCGCGACAAGUCACUUGUGAAAUCUCCGGGCUCAACUCGGAACGGCCAAGUGAUACUGUCGUGCUAGAGUGCGGAAGGGGCAACUGGAAUUCUCGGUGUAGCGGUGAAAUGCGUAGAUAUCGAGAGGAACACCUGCGGCGAAGGCGGGUUGCUGGGCCGACACUGACGCUGAUGCGCGAAAGCUAGGGGAGCGAACGGG